CGUUUUAUUCUGAGACAGGAAGCCUUUGCGGGAUUCCAGAAGGGGAGUGGCAUGGCCAGAUUGACAUUUUGCAAGAAUCACUCUGGCUGAGGGUGGCGACAGUCUGUAAGUGGGCAGGGCAGAGGCUGGGAGAGCAUGUGGGAGCUGUCACAGCUCCAGGAAAACGCAAAACCCAGAUUCAGGGGUAAAUCUGAGCAGAUUAUUUAGGGAAAUGAGGAGAGCGAAUGCUCUAGACCCUUAAAACAGCGUGAUUAUAUCAACAAGGAACCACCUUUUUAAAAUUAGAUGCUUUUUAUAGGGAAAAAAAUUAUUGAUAAAAAUGUCUAAUAACAUCAGAAGAUUGUACACUAAAUGAAGGUACCCCUUCCAGUCUCACUCCCCACCAGUCACCUUGGUUAACAGUCUCUUGUGAAUUCAUGAGGACACUUUCCAUGUACUUAUAUGCUCUGGAUUCUUUUUUCCAUGAAUAAAAUUAUACUACAUGCUGCACUGUUUUACAAGUAGCUUUUUCCCCUUAAUAAUUUAAUUUUGGUAUUUUUCUCUAUUUGCAUGCAAGGAUCCACCUCACUAAUUUUAAAGGUUGCAUGGAAUGAUGCUGUGUGGGUAUUUAACCAGUCUCCAUUGUUGAGCAUGGAGAAACUGUAAACUAGGUGGCAGCUGUGGCUUGAAUGAUGUUCUGUUGAACAGCGCUGGACUAGACACCUCGUGCCUUACUCCUCGUCUUUGAACCUGCUUCAAGUCCUGUGUGAAAAGAGGUAGGAGGUGAAGGGAGGAAGGAAGAAUUAAAGCCAAGAGUUGGGGGAGGAAAAGAGGGAUGGAGGGAGGACAGAUAUUUUCACCCAGGGGGGCCACGUGGAAAGAGCGUGAAAUGGUGUCUAAUCUCAGGACUGCUACAUAGCUGGGCCUCCUUGGCAAAUUACCAAACCUCUCUGAUCUAUAAGUUCCUCAUCAGUAAAAGAGAGGUAGCAGUUAUCUGACAGGAAUAUUUUGAGGCUGAGAAAUAUCUAAAAGCUCCUAGCACAGUGGCUGACACGCAUGACCUGCUCAGUGAGUAAUAGGAUUUUUGAAUCAGCAGCACCUGAGCCAGCACGUGCUGGGUGCUCAAGAAAAGAUUUUGAACCCACAAGUGUGUGAAUGUUUGAGGUGUGGGCAGGGAGGGGGUUGCCCACCCAGUCCAAUCUGUGUCAGAGGUCUUAUCCCCCGUCUCUACGCACCCACCCAGGGACUGAAUGGAACUGCUGUGGGGAGUCACCAUCUCUUGUCCAGCUCUUUCUUGCCAGGUUACAGCCUUGUCGCAUGUAUUCAGUGGGCUUUGUGGUCGGCUUGUUCUCCCUUGUUUCCUGGGGACCCAUCUGGGAAGUGCCCAAGUUCCACCUGGAUACCUGUCAGCAAGCGUGGUGGAUGAAUUCACUGUUGGUAAAUAAUUUCCCGUCGGUCCAGAAUGUGGUGAAUCCCUCGUGGUCGGCUGCGCCAGGGCAGGUAGGUGCAAAAUGAGGCAGGUCUGUGACAGGAGCCUGGGGAGGAUGGUCUGGGCUGUUUUCCCAGGUGCACACGCUUGGGCCAUAUGUGGGAAUCAGUGGCAAGGACACGAGCCAGCCCCUCUUUGAGGUGAAGCCCGCCUUAGAUCCUUGGAAGCAGAGGUGUGAGGGCCUCUAAGCUCUGGGUACUCACCAGUCCCCCCACCAUGGGCACAUCUCUCCAGCUGAGGCAAGGAGACCUGCCACGUUGGUCAGACGAGACUGGGUGAGAGUGUGCCAAGGGCGGGAAGGGAGGCGAAGGCUCCUUUUAUCCCUGAAGCAUGGAGAGAGCGGCCCCAGGAAUUUCUUCCACUGAAGAUGAAAUACAGGUGAUUGCCUCAUUUCAUACAAACAGGGACAGCCUGUGGGCCGAUGUGGCUUUGACCAGGUGGUCUCAUGUCAGUCGUGUGUGGGAACUCUGGGGUUUCCCACAGAAGCUUGUAUAGAGCCAGGCUUCCUUUCGAAAUGGACACAUUCUCUUGACCUGGAGUUUUGGGGGAUGGGCAGGCAGGCAAGGAAGUGGAACAUCCAGCCCUCUGACUCCAGCCACAUCUUAAUGUCACGUGAUAGAAUCCACUUCCCACAGCUCUCCUGGUGGAUGAACCAUUUUUGUUUUUUUAAACAAGAGAAAACUUGUCUGAACUUCCAUUUUAUAAAAUGGUAAUAGUAAUUGCUAGCACCCAGGCUUGUUGCAAAGAUCAGAUGAAAUCUCUGUAAUUCAAAAUCCUUUCCUUUUCCAUGGAAAUCCCCUGCCACCUCCUGAAUUCUCCCUCUGGGUCCAGGAAGGAGAGACAGUAUGGAGCUGACGUGGUACAUGAAGGAAGGAUAUCGCCUCUGCUCCUCUCUUUUCAGUGCAGCAGCUGCACGGGGUACCUUGCCAAUGACUUUCACAUCUAUCUCACCACGUCGGCCAUCGUCUUCAUCCAUGGAACCAUCAGCACCGAACUGGAGUUGGCACUCUGGAUGAAAAUCCCUGGCUCCCUGCAUCACUGUGGUGAUAAGGGAAUGGUAUCCCAUCCCUUCCUCAUGAAGAGCCAUGGAAACCUCAAGCAGUGGAAUGGGAUCGCCAAAGGCAUCUUCCAGGGAGGGUUGGGCCCUACGGUCCUGCACCCAUGUCUGACAUUUCCACUAUACCUCUGCAGAUCGUCUUGGUCCCAACCAACGCUCCCAGUUCUGGAAGUAAACGCGUCCCUGCCUUCCUCAGCACCGUGCUGUUCUUGGCUUCUUACUCUGCCAAUGCUCUGCUCACUCUGCCUUAUAACCUUCCAGUCGCAGCUCCAUCAGAUGCAAGUGGCAAACUGCUGCUUGGAAGUUCUGUUACUGGGUGGAGUCACUGAAAUUUAAGGAAGUUGCUGUUACCUACCUAGGACUUCACCCACUAUGCUCUUUGACCUCCCCAGUGAGGUAUGUAUAUAACAGUUCUUCCUUUAACCACCCCUGAAUUAUAUAGGAAAAACUGGUGUGAUUUCCUGCUAACCUAUUCUCAGUGCAGCACGCAGAGUGAUACAAAUGAAAAUCAGAUCUGGUCGGUCAGCUGCUCAAAUUCUUCCAAUGGCCAUCCAUUGCUCUGGAGGUAGAGUAUCUGUCUGACCUCAACUGUCAAUCCCCUGCUUGCUGGCUCUGGACCAGCCACACUGGCCCCACCACCUCAACAUCCCUUCAUGAUCUCUCCUCAGGGCCUUUGUACUUGCUAUUCCUGCACAUUAUUAGAAUGCUUUUCCUUUAGAAUCUGGUCUUUGGCAGGGCUGCUCCUUCACUUUCUACAGGUGUUUGUGCAAACAUCACAUUCUCAGAGCACCCUUCAUGGACCACCUGAUGUCAAGUAGUUCAGAACUGUGCCUGGCACCUAAGUGCUCAAUAUGUAUUGGUGAAUAGAAUCAAUAAAUAAACUAAUGAAUGACUACACCCAGGUCUUUUGACCAGGAAGCAUCACGCCCUUCUGGUCCUGUUAUCGGUCUUGAGGGCAUGACCAGGUAAGCCAGGGGGAGACUCACUCCCAUCUAGCCCAGUGGUUCUCAGAUCUACAUGCACAUAAGAUUUUAAAUCUCACAGAUGCUUCCAGCAAGCACCGUCUCAGACCAAUUGAAUGGAAUCUCUGGGCAUAUGACCCAUGCAACUGAAUUUUCUAAGAGCUACACUCUGAGAAUAUUUUUAGAGCUAUUCCAUUGCACCAGCCACCAGAAACAAUUAUUUAAGGUGAAAUACAGUCAUUAUGUUUCCUUGGGGUCGAAGGGUGAAGGGGCCCAAGGAAAUUUGACAUUUUAGCAAGCCAGCUGUGGCCUAAAGCAGGAUCAUGCUGUUUGUGGAUCAUACUGAGGAAAUGAACAAAUGUACCCCAAAUUUUCCUUUGGGUUUGCUGAUUGCACCAGUAGACAUCUGAGGGAUUCCCUUUUCCAUGUACAGAAUAAACAUAACAUUUUGCCUUAUGAUCUUGUGUUUUUAGUGAAAAUGCAUCUAGGUUAUAUUGCUCAGAGUAUAACGCUAAGCCCUACUGCUGAUUCAGGCCAUUCCUUGCGGGCCUCGUUCUGAGCAUUUUCAUGCACCCAGACCACCAGGCAAACAUUCUCAAGAUCAAGCAUAUGGAAGAAAAAUCUGCAGCCUCUCCACCCCCUAACAUGGCUCAGACCUGGUGAACAAGGACCCUGAACUGUUGCCAAAGACCAAGAAUACAAACAACCGCUCUCCCUGGCCUGGCACAGGCCCCCCAGGAUGUGGCAGCAGACGCCACAGUAUUCCUGGCUCAAGAAUCAUUGGCUACUGUGUGUUGUACUUAGAGGAGUGGCUUCGGGUGACUUAGAAGAUAGACCAAAUCUGUGUUAUUGUCGGCACAGUGGACAGUCUGCACUGGUAGUCGCUGGCCUGCGAGUAGAUGACAUUUCUGUGAAUCCAGGUGGCAAACACCCCCUUUGGUUCAUUCUUCAGCGAUUUAUCUUCCACACCUGUGCUGCCGUCAGCCAGUCACAAUUACAGGAUGCUCUAGCCCCCCACAGAAGUUCACCACCUCGGGCGCAGAGCCAGGGAGGGCGGUGAUGACACGGUGUCCUCACAGGCCCAGGGAGGGCUCGUGGCUCCACCAUCGGUGCCCCUUCGGCCCAAGACUGGUGAACCUGCCGCCUUCUUGCCGUCGCUGGAGUGACCUGCCAGCAUCAGUUAGGCUUGCUGCUCGGCGCCCCCUGCCCUCACCACCCGCUACCGUGGACGCAGGAAACGCUUAUUCAUACACAGACACCAACAUGUUCUCUCUUUUCUCAGGACGCUGUUUGCUGACCGGCAUCGCCGGGCCGGCCCUGAGGCUGCUCACUGAGAAGCCGUGUCAGGGGCUGAGACAGGCAGCUGGGACCAGGCCUGCAGGGCCAAGAAGGAGUGGACAGCCCUUUGCUGGUGGUGAUGCGCAAAAACGGGGGCGGCCUCAUUUAUGGAAGGAAUGUUCGUGUUCUUGGAAAAGGGUGUGAAUCUGAUUUUGCAAAUGUUUAAGCUGUACGAGUUCUCUGUGUUUAAUAUAUAAGAGUUCUGAGUGUUUAGAGGAGUGUUCUGAGCGUUUACUAUAUUAAAGAAUUCUGUGAUAAUCUACUUAUAGCACAAUAGUCAGCCUCGAUGUAUGUUCUUAGCAAAAAAAAAAAUCUGGGUUUUUUUGG